rnacentral:rRNA from 1 species
AUUGAACGCUGGCGGCAUGCCUUACACAUGCAAGUCGAACGGUAACAGGGAGCUUGCUCCGCUGACGAGUGGCGAACGGGUGAGUAAUAUAUCGGAACGUGCCCUAGAGUGGGGGAUAACUAGUCGAAAGAUUAGCUAAUACCGCAUACGAUCUAAGGAUGAAAGUGGGGGAUCGCAAGACCUCAUGCUCGUGGAGCGGCCGAUAUCUGAUUAGCUAGUUGGUAGGGUAAAAGCCUACCAAGGCAUCGAUCAGUAGCUGGUCUGAGAGGACGACCAGCCACACUGGGACUGAGACACGGCCCAGACUCCUACGGGAGGCAGCAGUGGGGAAUUUUGGACAAUGGGCGCAAGCCUGAUCCAGCAAUGCCGCGUGAGUGAAGAAGGCCUCGGUUGUAAGACUCUUUGUUC